CUGCCCAAUGAGGAAUUAAAUGGCCGCGGUACUUUGACCGUGCAAAGGUAGCAUAAUCAUUAGUUUUUUAAUUGAAAGCUGGUAUGAAAGGUUGGAUGAGAAAAUAACUGUCUCUAUUUAAAUUUUUUAGAAUUUUAUCUUUAAGUAAAAAAGCUUAAAUUAAAAUAGAAGACGAGAAGACCCUAUAGAGUUUUAUAGAUUUUAAUUUGAGAAUAUUUUAGUAUUGAUAAAUUUUUAAGUUAAUAUGUAUUUAGUUGGGGUGAUUGAAAAAUUAAAAAAACUUUUUUUAUUAAUGGUAACAUUUAUUUAUGAAAAAAUGAUCCUUUUUUAAAGAUUAAAAGAAAAAAUUACCUUAGGGAUAACAGCGUAAUUUUUUUAAAGAGUUCAAAUCGAAAAAAAAGAUUGCGACCUCGAUGUUGGAUUAAAAUAAAAUUUUGGUGUAGGAGCUAAAGUAUUUGGGUCUGUUCGACCCUUAAAAUUUUACAUGAUCUGAGUUUAAACCGGCGU
rnacentral:rRNA from 1 species